GAGUGGAACCCGCCUUCGACAGGGGGAUAAACACUUCUCACGGGGUGCUAAUACCGCAUGAGACCACGGGGCUGCACGGCCCCGCGGUCAAAGAUGGCCUUCUAUUUAUAAGCUAUCGGUCGAAGAUGGCCUCGCGUCCCAUUAGCUUGUUGGCGGUGUAAAAGACCACCAAGGCGACGAUGGGUAGCUGGUCUGAGAGGAUGGUCAGCCACACUGGGACUGAGACACUGCCCAGACACCUACGGGUGGCUGCAGUCGAGAAUCUUCGGCAAUGAGCGCAAGCUUGACCGAGCGACGCCGCGUGCGGGAUGAAGGCCUUCGGGUUGUAAACCGCGAAAGUAGGGAGGAAAUCGCUGGGGGUUCUCCCCCAGUGUUGACCUAUCUUCAGUAAGGACGGGCUAAGUUCGUGCCAGCAGCCGCGGUAAUACGAACCGUCCAAACGUUAUUCGGAUUUAUUGGGCUUAAAGGGUAUGUAGGCGGCCCUUCAAGUCGGGUGUGAAAGCCCUCGGCUCAACCGAAGAACUGCGCCCGAUACUGUGGGGCUC
rnacentral:rRNA from 1 species